CUGAAAUACUACGUUUUUCUGGUUGUGAUGUCAGACAAUGUGUCGGGGCGGGCAUGCUGCUGUGAAAGGGCUCCAUGGUGCAGCUGAUGUGUGAACAGGCGUGAGCAAAAAGGGAAGAGUUGGGGAUAACAAGUUAUUAGUCAGAGCUGCAACCACGUCAGAGACGAGGAUUCACGGAGGACGUUGUGUCCCGGAUUGCCGUUAACGGAGCCGUGUGCCGCUGAACCGGGAUGACUAACUCCGUCGAUGUGUCUGCCGGCGUGUCAGAGGUCCAAUCAAAUCCUGCAUGCAUCCCAUCCGUCCAGGUCCAUCUUCACCUCCCCCAUUUCCCGUCUCGGUCCCAGCAUGGCUCUCGGAGGAGAGCGAUCCUGUCAGGACACUCGCAAAAGUAGGACUACGCUUUGAACCUUUUCACCUUUUGCUGCGUCAAGCUACAGAUUUUUAUGUUUUUAUGUUGGUCUAUUACAGCUUUCUUGUAGUAAACCAACACAAGACAGGAAAUAACUGUAAAGUGGAAGGAAAUUAUAUAUGGUUACAUUUUUGUUUUUUUUACAAAUAAAAUCCCACAUUUACAUACAUUACUAUUCUGGCCUCCUGAGUGAAUUCUUUGCAGAAUCAUUUCUCUGCAUUUACAGCUACGAGGCUUCUGGGGUUUGCUAUAACUAUCAUCUUUGCACAUCAAGGGACUGAUAUUUCGCCCAUUAUUCUUCGCAAGAUCAAAGAAUAAGCCCAAAUAACCCAAGAUCACAACACUUAAGUUAAUUUGGUUACAGAUACGGAGUAACUCGUAGAUUUUGUGUUUAAGAUUUUGUGAAAUAACAGGUCAGUGUCAGGAUUUGCGGUGUGAGGUGGUGAGGUAGACGCAGUGGACCCAGUUGAAAUGAAGAAGUGAUGAUUUUAAUGAAGAUUGUGAGAGAACAACAGUCCAAAGUCCAGGCAGCACAGAAAUGAGCGGAAGGCUAAGGCUCAAAAACUGGUAGCAACUGGUAAACAGUAGACAAAGAAUAAGGGGUGACAUUAAAAACACAGAGAGUAAUCAGGGAACGAGACACAGCUGGGAACAAUCAAGGGGUAGACAGGACAACGUGGAAACUCAAUUAACGGAAAACGACACAAAAACCUAACUUAACCCCCCCAAAAAACAAAACAACUCACAGUCAGAAUGCUUCUUAUUUUUUGACAUAUAUAGUUUAGGUUUAUAUGCUGCUCUUCAAAGGAGCAGCAUAUAAAUGGAAAGAUUUUUCUGCUUCCUACCCUGAACCUUUAGGGAAAACCUUUGAAAAUCUUCCUCCAAGGAAGCUACAACCUUUUGAUUCUGGGAUUUAUUUUCUCGACAGAAUAGUCCUUUAUUCACAUAAACAUCUUAAUUAUUAAAUCCUCUCUGAAUUAUGACAGAACAUACUUGUCAGCCAGCCAUCAGGUUUUAUGUAAACUGAGAGACGGAUGAUGAUGGACUUCAAACCGCACUUACGUACGAUGAGUGUACAAGCGUUCGUUGCGGCUGACAUGGUAUUCGAACUAUGAAUAAAAUUUGGAACGGGUUUUUUUUUGCUGCGGGGCCCUUACAGGAACGCAGGCACAGACGACUGACGACUGACGAAAGCAAUUUGAUGUUUAUGUUGGUGUAUUUUUCUGUGCGGGAUAAACACUCACUAUGUGCUCUGUAAUUGUUGUCACGGUGAGACAUUUGAUUAUGUACUUUUAAGGGAUAUUUUGUUUAAUAGAGUAAACACAUCAUCAUUCUGCCUGAAUGUUAGUUUAUAGUUUCCGUUCUUCUGAGGGAAAAGUUCGUGCAGAUGUUUAAAAUGCUAAAUUUAGUGCUAGAUUUUUAGUAGCCAAGGUCGCAGUCAGCAUUCCUCUCUAAAAGAUUUAUUUUAAUAAAAAUGGCUGUAAAGUGCUGACUUUGAGCUUCAGGCUGCAGAAUCACACAGGUGCACGGUGUUAAUAUAGAAAUUUAAAGUACUUCACUGCAGUAUUUCAAAGCAUUAUUGUACUUUUAGUCAAUGGGCACAAACUUCUUGGUAACUUCUAUUCUUAUAUACCCAAAUAAACACAAAACAACUGAACAAAUUACAGAAAAUAACUUUCGUUCAUAGAAAUUCCUUGAGGCUUCAAGCAGAGCGGUUCAGCAUCUGGACGUUGUAUUGCAGAUGCCUAAAGAUGAAUUGCAAUUGCCUUAAUUAUAUAAGAGAUGCUCUUUUUAGGAUUUACAAGAACAAGGAAAAAACCACAAGGAAUAUGUGCAAUUAGAUAAUCAUAACUUUUACCAAUAAGAUUGUAAUCACAGUGUUUUAUUAUUGUGCAGCUGUAGCAUUGAUCAGUUGCUCUUUCAUUCAUUUUCAGUUCUUUUUUGAGUGUUUAUUUAACUCCUUAAUUCUACACUUAUGAGUUAGUAAAACAUACACUCAACAUAACAUAAACACUCGAGGUUUAAGUCAGUGUUUUGUUUACAAGUAGCAGGCAACUUAGCAAAGAAUCUUCAGUUUUGUUCCAAAUAGUCUGUCACAGAAUCACAAUUUACUUGAGAAUUCACUUUCUUAAAAUACAGAGGUGACCAUGGUAUGACAGACAAGAUGUCACCCAAAAACUUGUCCUCAUAAUUAACUAAAAAUUAGUUUGUCCACUCCGCCGGUGAAGUGCGCAGCAACAGGGAGUGGGGAAGCAUGCAGUGCAAAUCCGGGUGAUAGGAAUCGUUGUGUUGGAUGAAGCAGUAACACCAAAAAGACCCUCACAAAGUAAUUUACAUUCAUCUUAUUGGCAACUGCAGGGCGUUGAGGCUUGACUGCAGCUCCCGGCAGCAUGUUUUUUACUCGCCCUAUGGAAUGAGGCCUCCAUCUCUGGCCAUAACGUUUAGCCCGUGAUUAGCUUUCCUCAUGUCUGCAGAGAUCAUGUUUAAAAUAUAAAAACAAAACAACACUCCAACAGCUUCACUCAGCAGUACAUAUAAAGAAAACACAAUAUCAUCAAAUUGAUCAUGGUAAUUAUUCGUGGCCAAAUAAGCAGUUCAACUGAAGAAACGGAUUUAGCUUAAAGCUAAAUAGUUCUAGACAGCACUACACUUCCUGUUUGCUCCAGAGAGGCUUUACAUUUUAGUUUAGUUUGUUUUGUUUGCAUUCACUGCCCCCUGAUUUAUUGUCACUCUGGGUAGUGAUUCAUCAUUGUUGAUGAAGAUCAGCAGAAGGAAGUUUUAGAAUUAAAGCGUUAGAAAGUGAAGAGUGGCUUGAAACACUGAACUGUUUUUUAUUAUUAUAUCUCAUUCAUGAUGAGAUUCUAUGACAUUAUUUAAGCAUCUUUUUUUGGGGGUUGAUUGGUGUUCAUUUAUCACCAUCAAACAUAAUCAAAUCUAUCCACUUUGAUUAUAUUUCUUUAGUGUGUGCAGAAAUAUAUUCAAAACCAAACAGACAAGACGGACAUCUGAAAGUAUUUUGUUGUCUUUUUUUGACCUUUCCAACUUGUAAAAAGUGGUACGAGUUAAAAAAAAGUGUUUCAGUGAGCGCUUACAUCACGGUGUGUUUCUGUGGUCACCCACUGUUUACAACAAUCUGCCACUGAGAUGAUAAAUACCAACAACGGGACGAGGAACGCAGAGCAGAGCGAAGCGGAGAGGUGAAUAAUGUAGAUGCAAAUAGUGCUCUUUGCAUCUCAAAUGACCAGCCCUCAGUCUUCACGACGUGUCAAUAAAUGCACAAUAAAUACGCCCCGCGUUCCCAAGCCAAAACACACUCGCAUCCUAAAAUACCGCGGCUCUGACGACUGAGAUAGAACCGCUCAUCAAAUUUAUGCGUGAGCGAACCCAGGCUAAAUUUACUGCCAAGCGAGCCAACUUACGCAAUCCCUCCCUGGUCUCCCUCCUGUCUGUUCGGUGGCUUCAGAGUCCUGCAUCUCAAAGUAUCCCAGCCCUCCCCAGGAUCCCACCCCCACAAUACACGCUACAACUUUGACACUAUUCCUGUAGCAGCACAAAAAUACCAGCACCUCCAAGAACAGACGCCGAGCCCGUCAGAGCAUCAUCACAUCCUACAUGGCAGCUGGGAGGGAGAGAGAGAGAGAAAAGGAAGCAGAGCAGGUGGAGAGAUGAGCACAACUGCUGUUGAGAAAUAAAGAAUCAACAGAGAAACUCAGGCUUUUCUGUUCGCAGCUUUUAAUCCAGGCAGAUCUGAUGCAAACUGUUUCUCUACGCUUUGAUCUGGAUCAGCUCUCCUCCUCUCAGACAGCUUGUGCAAAGCUUCUGAUUCACCUUUAAGACACAACGUAGAGUCACCUCAACACCAACUCAUAGAAAACUUUAAUAACGUUUAGGAAAUCUUCAGUUUAAUCCGCUACAUUAUUGGCAUAAAGUUGCAAAGGUGCAGUCAUAAGGAGGGACUCAUUAUACGACACAUAAAAUGAUUUUUUUUAAAAACGACUUGGGUGCACAUGUUUGAAUUUUUUGUUAAUCCCAAAGGUACAGCUUAGAAGGUCGAACCUUGAAUACUUUUGUUGAAUCAGUACGUCACAGGGUCUCCUCCCAGUGAGACCCAGAACACGCUGGAGGUGGAUGCACUUUUUUCUUUUUCUGCCGUAUUUCUUUCUGGAUAUUUGAUUCACUCUUUAUACCAGAGUUGGUCGAUUUAUUGUGAAUUAUGUUGAUUUACUGGCACAGUUUACAAAUUUCCAACUGAGUUGAGGAUGGAGUUUUGGGAAAUCAAUCCCAGCAUCUUAAUCUAAGCCAACUUCGUUUGUUUCAAAACAAGCACUGGUGUGUACACCUCCCUCAAGCUCUGACUACAUAAUGCUAUGUUCUUAAAGGGUGCGGGGGGGUUACGGAAAAUCGACUUUGUUUAUCUUUAUAUCUUGUUUUAAUGUGAUUUCCUCAUCAAAAACACAACUGGAGCACUUCUUUGAUUCUUUCAUAAAUGUUUGAGAAAUCCUUGAAUUUUCCCCUGGCAGCCAGUCAGGGUUAGCCAAGCGCUUGCUCCCACAAAGCACUGCUUUUUCCACAACGCCAUUCCUCACAGAUCUCCCCUCCCCAAUCAGCUCCUCCAGACUAGCGACAGCAGCAGCAAUUAGGAAACACCUGGUGGAACUGCUCAAGUGUGCUUGGCUUAUUAAAUGAACCACAAGCUCCUAAGAACAUAUGCAAACGGCAUAAUGAGAAGCAUUGUUGUGAUGAUGACCUGAAGGCGGAGAAGGCGGAAAGAGCUUCUUAAAGAGACAGAGACCCAAUUUCAAAGAGUCAAAAUGCAAAGUCAAACUUCUUUUAAGUUAUGUGUGAUACAAUAUUUUUUAUAGCAACUGGAGGUUAAUUGAUUGUGCUAUAAAAUUGCCUGGAAAUUUUAUAGCACGGUAUGGUUUAUAAUGCCCCUCUAAAUGCAAAAUACUGUCAAUGACUACAUUUGACACAGGAAAGGACAAACAUUAAGUUUAGUUAGAAGGUCUGAGUUUCUUUGAUUUAUGUAAAUAUUCAUUUACAUUAAUAUAUGCUUUCUUGUAUGACUUUUUAAAUGUUCCUCACUCCAAGUCCCAUUAUCACAUGACAAAAAAAUCUUUUGGAGAGUUUCAGUAUUUAAAAGUCAAACACAUGUGUUGGAUCUAAAGACAAAGUUCAACCGUAGGCGGUCCUAAAAGAGAAAACCUUUAGGGCUCUGCCCCACCUGUGUGGUCUACACACAGGUACAACUGUAUGUUCAAAAAGAAUGAACAGAUGUUGUGACUCCUUACAUUUCAACAUAGAGACAUUCAAUUUGUCCAGUUCUCCAGUUUAAGUCUCAGUACCUGUAAACCACAAAUGACAUCAGCUGCAGCUUCUUGCUGAUUGUCAGUAACCACGCUGACGGCAUACGGAGAACGAGGCUGCUGAAUGUUGAGAACAUCGGUGUGACUCUUGCGAUGUGACUCGCGUCGCUCAAAUAAUAGACGCUAGGAAACGAGGAGGAAGCCCAAGGCUCUGAGACCAACACAGGAAUCAGUGAAACAGGAGAAAGUGAAAAAGAGUGCAAAUCCCUGAAAAGACUCGUAAGACUCAGUGGGUUCUUUCUUUUCUCUCUUUCUCUCUCUUUUCUUGUUCUCCUCUCUCUCUCCAUCACAAUGUCGAUGGAUGGUUGCUGAGGGCAACCUGUGUGUACUCACCUAACGAUGAACAGGAAGUGCUGUGUGAGUGAAGCGGCUAUUUAUAGCAGCAUGUGUAGAAAGGACAUUGGCUCAUGGAUGUACCUGUGUGUGUUGGGGUGGGGGAGUGUGUGGGGGUGGGGGUGUGUGUAGAUGCAAGCACCUGUGAUUGUGCGUAUGACAGAAAGAGAGAGAGAGAGAGAGAAAGCAGCCAGUAUGUAACAGGGAGGAGGAGGAUGCAGAUUGUGAGACUCAGACGUUUACUAGAGAGAACAGGAGGGGAGGAUGAUGGUGGGGAGCUAAGGAUGGAUGGAGGGAGUGAGGGAAUGCAGUGGAGGAGGGGGCGAGUGUGUGUUGACGCUGUACGUGGCGUCAGCGCGAUAAGAAUAGAGAUGGUGCGUAUAGCUGAGACAUCACCCUCACACUCUCUGUAGGGCAGGUGGUACUCACUCCGAGAGUGUGUGUGUGUGUGAGUGUGUGUCGGUGGGUACAUGUGUGUACCCAGAUUUUUCUCAGAGUAUGUUGAUGUGGACAUGGAUGAGUAAACUGUUACACAGAUUUUUAAAAAUUAUUUAUUUAUUUGCCUGUUAUAUAAGCGCAGUUAUGUGACCAUGUUUUUCCACGUUUGGUUUAUAGGAACGCAUUUUAUUUAUGUAAAGGAAAUCUAAAGUGAUUAUGAUAUAGUAUUUAUUUUUUUAUUUUAACGCCCUCCCCUUCCACUUGAAAAUGUUCCUUUAAAUCACCACAAUACCAUUGCAGCUUGUCGCCCACGCUAGGAAAAAAAAGAAAAGAAAAUCACACAUAUUAGAAAAUAGUCUAAUAAAUGUCAGCUUUUUCUGAGUCAGCUUUUUAUCCGAGUAGUUUAAAAUUUAGAGAAAAAAAAUAACAUUUUGAAAUUGUUUUGUGGCACAAAAAAUAUGUUUUAUUGGCUUACUGCUGUAAUAUCAAAUUAGUUUAACAACUGAAAGACUUCACUGGAGUAAAUAUUCAAAUUAUUAAAUGAAGACUGGAAUAAGAGAAACAACUGUGUAGAUCCAUCUACUCUCUUAUAGAGCUCUUGGUUUCCUUGACACACAUUUACAUUCAGAUCAUUGAAUAAAUUUUAAUAUGGAAGAUAUUAAAAAUUUGCACCAAUGCAAACCUUUCUGGACCUUUGUUAA